UCCUGGCGUCAGGAUGAACGCUAGCGACAGGCCUAACACAUGCAAGUCGAGGGGCGAGCGGGGGAGCAAUCCUGCCGGCGACCGGCGCACGGGUGAGUAACGCGUAUGUAACCUGCCCAUGAGUGGGGGAUAGCCCAGCGAAAGCUGGAUUAAUACCGCAUGAAACCGUUUGAAGACAUCUGAUAAUGGUUAAAGAUUUAUUGCUCAUGGAUGGACAUGCGUCCGAUUAGCUAGUUGGCGGGGCAACGGCCCACCAAGGCGACGAUCGGUAGGGGUUCUGAGAGGAAGGUCCCCCACAUUGGUACUGAGACACGGACCAAACUCCUACGGGAGGCAGCAGUGAGGAAUAUUGGUCAAUGGGCGGAAGCCUGAACCAGCCAAGUCGCGUGAAGGAUGAAGGUAUUAUGUAUUGUAAACUUCUUUAGCAGUGGAGUAAUAAGGUGGUCGUGACCACUGAUGCAAGUACACUGAGAAUAAGGAUCGGCUAACUCCGUGCCAGCCGCCGC
rnacentral:rRNA from 1 species